rfam:Nomascus leucogenys chromosome 18, whole genome shotgun sequence.
AUCCUUUUGUAGUUUAUGAGCAUGAUGAUUGAGUGUUCACACACGGGUGUGAGAUGUGCCACCCUCAAACUUGUUACGACUUCGGCUUAUUACCCAACUGACC